UUUUCUAUUCUCAGAAUCCCGACAUGGCAAGGUGUUCCCUAACCUUUCUUAGAGCACAUCUGAGGAGUGGGGUGUUCAGCACCACGGACAGCAUUACAUGCCCUUCAGCUCGGUUAAAGCCAUUUUUCUAUUUCAGGCAAAGAACAGAACAUUCUGAAUGUUGACCUGAGAACUUCCUGAUGCUUCCUGAUGUCUCCAUGAUGACACUCCUCCAUUCAGUACUCUGGAGGCUGCAACCCCAAUAAUGUUGGGCCUAAGCAUUUUGAUUUGCCCCCUGUGCAAAAGCACCAGUGGUCUUCAGCAGUUGAACAAGCUGCCACAUGCCUCCAGCAUUACUUCUCUUUGGGUCUCUAACUCAUAAAAAUCACCUGACAGCAACAAGAUGGCUCAGUGGGCAAAGCAUAUGCCUGAUAACCUGAGUUCGAUCCCUGGA